rnacentral:rRNA from 1 species
UACGAAGGGGGCUAGCGUUGCUCGGAAUGACUGGGCGUAAAGGGCGCGUAGGCGGCGGUCACAGUCAGAUGUGAAAUUCCUGGGCUUAACCUGGGGGCUGCAUUUGAUACGUGGUUGCUUGAGUGGGGAAGAGGGUCGUGGAAUUCCCAGUGUAGAGGUGAAAUUCGUAGAUAUUGGGAAGAACACCAGUGGCGAAGGCGGCUUCCUGGACCGGUUCUGACACUGAGGAGCGAAAGCGUGGGGAGCGAUCCGG